rnacentral:lncRNA from 1 species
UUUGUUCGUUUCUUUUGUAUCGUACGGAUCAUACUAAAAGAAAAGAAGGGAUAGUCUUUACAUACCUGAGCCGAUUCAAUUGACAAUCCUUCUAACACCGACAACAUGAAAUGACGAAUCGAAAUAAAAAAAAAUCUAUAUAACAUUCUAGAUAAAUAUUACACCGUACUUCCCUUAAUUUUCAAAAUCUCACGUCGUUACUCCGAUCAUUGCAAAUCACGCAUGCAAUCUCUCAUUGCAACGUGAUACUUCAUCUUCUAAUCUUAAGGGGCCAUAUAUAUAUAUAUAUUCUUAACCACAACUAUAACAUUACAAAUAAGACCCCAACAUGAUGAACUUUCCAAUCUAUGUUCUGAAAUUAGUUUAUUUAGUGGUAGAAGCCAGAUGCGUGAAACAAUUGAUAGACUACCAAAAAUAACUCCCCUAUCAAUACUACAUCCACCUUCCAUCGCUGGAGAACAUCCAAACUUAAGCUCUAGACAAGAAGCUUCUAUCAGUUCCACAAGUUACAUUUCUCAAGCACCCACCCGAGAGGCCAACACUCUAUCAGAAAACACCUUCAGCACCUUAACAAGAAGAAAUAAUAGUAGUCUUCAAAUAUAGAGUGACAACCACAAGGCCCAAUAGAAGGUGUAGACACUCCUAUCACUAAUGUGAUUAAGUUGACAA